rnacentral:rRNA from 1 species
GCUACCCCAGGUCAGGUGGGACUACCCGCUGA